ensembl:lncRNA
ACCUGCACCAUUCCUCAAGGCAGUCUCAGGCCAAAGCCUAUCUAAAGCAUCAUAAAUUUCAAACAACUGAGCUAAAUCAAUAAGGUUUUAUAGGACAUCUUAAAGAAAAAGAAAAGGCAUUACUUCACUAAAUGUAGCUGGAGAAAUGCACAGAAGUUAUUUCUGUCCAGGCUCCCUCGCUAUGGAUGGAGGAACCAGACAGUUCUAUUUUCAUUCAUAAGGAGCAUCUCAAAACCUGGGGCAUAUCAUGGGAUGCAAUUGGCCCCAAGGAAGAGGAAACAGGAGAAUGGCUUGGCAGCCCAUGAGAUUCUUUUGGAGAAGAAAUUAUUAAUAACAAGGAAUAUUUUACUGUGGAUCAAAGUGUGUUCCCUCUGUUGUUUCCAUUGGGUCCUCAUGGAUCUGCCCCAUUCUCUUCAGGGCCCGCCUUUCAGUGGGUGUUACCCAAGAGCAAAAGGAGUCUGUGGAGCUGUGAACCGAGGGAAAGUGCCUCCCAUGGCAGCACUUUCUUGCAUCUGGCCCUCCCUGGGUGCCUCAUGGUUUCUCCCAGUAUCCCAGCCUCGCAGAGGUGAGUCUGUUGCUUCCUUGGAAGCGACAUUUUCCUCAGGCCCUGGAGGGCUUCAUUACUGAGCAAUGGUUUCAUUUCUUUUUAUUCUAGAAUAUUUUUCUUCUUCCUCCCUUCUCCCUUCUGUCUCUUCACCAUAAAAUUGUAUUAUGCAGCUGAUUCUUUUGGAAGGAAGAGAGCAACAUUAACAUCAAUUCUGAUUUGGACCUUUCUCCUGAGUGGUUAUGUUCUCAUCUGAAAUAUCUCUUGAGGGCAGAGCCAAAAAGAGGGAGUACGAGGAGAAGACUGGGCAAGGGAGAUGCCAGGAGAGGACCUGGAGGGAAGAGGGCAGAGUCUGAGUCAAGGGACACAGUCUGUGGCCUCCUGCCAGUGCCCUCAUCGCCAACCACCUGACCCCACCCCACUCACAUCCCAAGCCUUUUCCUGAGCAUUAUCCAAGUGAUUAUUUAAAAGGCAGCUUUGUGGGCCCCAACCCUACACCUGCUACAUUUCUGGGGUUGGGGCUCAGGAGUCUGCCUUUCAAUAAGCUCCUGCAGGUAACUCCCAUGCACACUCAAAUUAAAGCCACUAGCUUAAGACUCUGCUCGGAGACCAUCUGACUUCUGGUUACUUUGCAAUUUGGGAGUUUUCACGUGGCAAGUGAAGAUGGCCUUGAUUGGUUGGUUCACAAGGUAUCAGGCACCUUCAAAAAUUAAUAGUACAGAAUGAUGGGCAAUUCUAUCUGUAGGCCAAAAUUGCAGAUAAAAGUAAGGAAACCUGGCCUAAAUGACAGGGAAAGGCAAUAAUCAAUAUAGUAACAUAAAACAAUAAUGCAGCUGGUACAAUCAAGCCAUCCCGUCGGGAGCCGUAGAGUGCAUCAUUAGUGUCCAGUCAUAAUGAAGCCCACAGAAUGCAGCUCACAUUAGCCAGGACAAAGCCUCUUCAACACUGAAUAUUCUGCCACACUGCAGGCACGUUUAUUUUAUUUGAAAGAAGAAUGGUCCUGUUGCCAAGCCAUCAGAUGGUAAAAAGAGAUAUAUUUGAUGGAUAAUAAAAAAGGGUCUGCCACAGCCUCACAAAAUACGUUUCUAAUGGAAAUGUUUCUAGUACGUGGAAUUCAUAGCCCUAGUGUGUAGGGCUGCACAAGAGAUUCCUGCAGACGAGGUAAGCAGGAGCGGGGAGAGCGGUGUGGGGUGAGUCAGGAAUAUAGCCGCAGAGAUUGGGCGGGCGGGCGGGGGGGGGGGUGCGGGGAUCCACAUUAUUUUUAACAAUAACAAACAACAACAAAGAGCCCACUUGACAAACAUCACUCACUCUUUCUCAACCUGUUUCCUUGAUGCAGAUUGACAGCCCUUUUAAUAUGAAAUAAAUCAGGCAGGAGAAGGAGUGUCUGGAAGAACAUACAGAUUGAGGGCUGACUGACACAACGCCUCUGAAAUGCGCUACAUUUGCAUUUGCCUUUGUAACAGCCAACUUGAAAGGAUGUCAGAUGCUUUGAAAGGCUGUGAGGAUGCGAUUUGAACUUGGAGAGUGAAUGUGCGGCGCCUCGUGAUGCCGGAGCCCCACAAUGUGCUGCCAAGAACGGGAGCAGGCAGACCCCGCAAACACAAGUGGCCCUUCCAAUCUCCCUCCCGAUCUUGGGGUAAAAAGACAUUUUAUCUAAUAACUGGUUUCAUACUUAGUUAGGACCAACAAGUCCUCCUGAGUCUGUGGGCUCACACCACAGCAUUAGGGUCAAGUCACUUCUCACCAAGAAAACUGGCUGGUAAUGAGCGACGACACCUUUCAAGGAGGUGUGUGGUCAGCGACCAUCGCUGUCAAGCACCCUCCCACCUCAGUCCAGUCUUCCAGAUACUGAAGUCCCUUUGGUUAGCUGCCUUCUUGGAUUUCCUGGACUGUCUGGUGUUCACAGUGACCCUGCAAAACAAAUGCCAGUCCCCAUCAAUCCUGAGACAACCAAAGUCAGUUUCAACGUCUCUCCUGGCACAGGGAGAAGUAUUUCCACUGUGAGCAAGAAAAUGCUUGAGAGGUGUGGGGUGCAUCUAGAGUGAGCCCGGGAGGAGAAAUCAGAGAACAAGGCAGUAGGCAAGCACAAAAAAAGCAAGCUCUACUGGAAAAGUGUCUUCCUUCUGAAGCCCACACCUAUCCUCUUCAGCACCUUUGCUCCCUUCCACCUGGAGAGCCCGCCCAGGCAACACACCCUCCCGGCACCCCAUCAGCGGUUUUGCUCCUGUUAGCUUGGCUCCUUGAUCAUUCAGCAGUUGUGGUGGAGCACCUAUGAAGUGCUGGUCACUGUCCAAGGUGCUUGAGCUAGAGUGAUACUGAAAUCACAGCUGUCCUCCAGGACUUACGUUCCAGUGAGAGAUAAACAAAAUGCUAUUGCAAACAAGAUAGGUAUAGAUUGUGAGAAAUGCUAUAAAGGAAGAGAGUUGACAUAGUAAGUGGCACUAACCCAGCUAGCCAGGAGGCCUACUUUCCAGGGAGUGAUCAGGGACAGCCUGCUCAGAACAGCAACAUGUGAGCUGACAUCUAAAACAUGAAAAGGAUCCAGCCACAUGACAAAGAGCAGGAAGAGUGGGCCAGGCACAGAAAACAUCAAGUGCAAGGGCACUGAGCAGGGGAAGCCCUUGGAAGGGUGGCAAAUCAGCAAGAGGCUGUGUGGCUGGGAUAUGGGAGGGAGGGAGAAGAGGAGAGAGGUCAGGUGGGAGAGGAAAAUGGGGCAGCUAUUGCAGGGCCUCUGCUGGGCUUUGGAGCCAGUGUGUCUGCCUCCCAAACACCUGUGUGACCUUGGGCAAUAUAACUGACCUCUCCAGUGGUCUCCAACUGGGCCGGUAACACCUGCCUCAUAAUACCUACUCCAUGGGGCUGUUGUGAAGAUUAUAGGAGCUGAGGCUGGUGCAUGCAAACUGCCUUACGCAGUGCCUGGCAGUGUUAGCAUUCAAGACAUGUUAACUGCUACCAUUAUUUUCAAAGAUGGGUUCAUGUGGGGUGGGAUGGGAGUAUUAAAUCAGCUUCUUGGGGCCCUACUGAGCCAGUGUACCUGAGUUCCCCAUGAUGUCAGGCCACCAAAAGCAUUCGAGUGCAAUUAUAAAGAAAUUACUUUCCCAGCAAUUAAUCACCACUAUAAGAUUGCCAAUACAUAUCAUUGCGGCAUUAUGACACAUUGCAUCACGCGAUCAGAAUGUAGAGUAGGAAGGGGCCAUUUGUAGCUGACCUUAUUCAAGUCAAAUCAGCUCAAUCAGUGGGAUUUUGAAAGUCAGUGGGAGUUUUGCCUGAAUAAGGGUCAAGACCAAUUAUCAAAAGGCAAAAUAAAACAAAAAGAUGUUUUUAAAGCUAUUAGAUGUUAUAGUAAUUUUUCACAGUUCAGGGAUACGUUGAGAUAGUGACUCUGUAAUUUGGGCAAUACAGUGCUCAUAAAGGUUUUCUGUCUAGUCCUUUAUUUUAAGAGUCUAUCUGCAUGUUUUUUCUUCUCUUUUUUAGAUGGGGUCUUGCUCUGUCACUCAGACUGGAGUUCAGUGGCACAAACUCAGCUCACUGCAACCUCCACCUUCUAGGCUCAACUGAUCCUCCCACCUCAGCCUCUUGAGUAGUUGGGACUACAGGCCCAUGCUACCAUGUGCAGCUAAUUUUUUGUAUUCUUGGUAGAGAUGGGAUUUUGCCAUGCUGCCCAGGCUGGUUUUGAACUCCUAAGCUCAAGUGAUCCUCCUGCCUUAGCCUCCCAGAGUGCAGGGAUUACAGAGUGGGCCACCAUACCUAGCCCUGGAUCUUCUUUUUAUAGACUCAGAAACAUGGUUAAAAAGUACAAAACGGCUGAGAUACAUAUCGAAAACAGAAGACUUCUCACCAACUACCUAUUACACUAUGCAUUUGGAUUAUCUGUGCCUCUCUGGUAGCGAAAGAGCAGGAAAAUGCUGGAAAACUACAACCUAAUUUGAGCCAUCAGAUUUCUCCUCCAUCUUGCAAGUCCCCCUGUGCUUCAGAAACUGACUGUAAUUUAAUCAUAACAUUGGCUUAAACAAGUUUUAAAAUUAUAAGUGUACCACCAAAAAAAAUAGCUAUUCUGCACAUUUCAGAGCCAACAUGGUCUAUGCAUGGCUUGUCAUUUCUGUAUUGUGUGUGGCUCUGCUCCCUUUAAGUCUCCUUAAAAUAGCAGCCAGGCAUUAGAGAAAAAGCUUCCUAAAACCUGUUGAGGU